GAGCCUGUGGGGGCGGAUCUCUCCAACUUAGAGAAUGAUGUCUCUCCUCUGUCCUGUGCAGAAUAUGAAAUGAUUCAUGAGGCACUGUUUCUGUUGCAGCCUUUUAAAGCAGCAACAACUGAGCUGUCAGAGGAGAAGAGAGUGUCAGCAUCAAAAGUCAUUCCUCUAUAUCGGAUGCUGCAGCACAACCUGUUUGAAAAAUUGAGGCACUCAAAGCAGCCAGCAACUCAGCAAUUGGGCACAUUCUUGAAGGAUGGACUGCAGGCAAGGUGUGGUCAAUAUGAAAUUGUUC